GACGAACCGUGCGAACGUUGUUCGGAAUCACUGGGCUUAAAGGGCGCGUAGGUGGUCUGUCAAGUCGGGGGUGAAAUCUUUCGGCUCAACCGGAAAACUGCCUUCGAUACUGACAGACUAGAGGGAGGUAGGGGUUGCGGGAACUACCAGUGGAGCGGUGAAAUGCGUUGAUAUUGGUAGGAACGCCGGUGGCGAAAGCGCGCAACUGGAUCUCUUCUGACACUGAGGCGCGAAAGCUAGGGGAGCAAACAGG
rnacentral:rRNA from 1 species